AAUGUCUGCUUUGUACUGAAUGAGCUUCAGUGACUUAUUGAAGAAUUGCCUUAGAAAUCUGUAGUAGAUUCAGGGAAUGAGUGCAUCGCAGAACUUUGUAGAAAAAGUCUCACUGGCUACAACAAGGACUAGCACAUUGGUGUGGAGUAGUGGUGAACCAGGCUGAGAACUGAGCUGGCCAAAAAUAAUGCAGCAACAGCAAAACCAAUUGACCUCCAAUGCUCAGUGCUUUUUUGGAAACGGAGAAGAGUGGUAAAUAUUCUUUCUGUUAAAUGAAAAGAGUGUUGUGAAAUGGGAAAGCUACAAAAUGUCUAUUGCUCAGGGGAGCAAUACUACUUGUGUUACGUUUGAGCCUGUCUACCCUCAAACUGUAACCAUGGUUUCCCUUUUGCCACAGUUGAUGGUUAUCUAGCCAUGCUGUAAACUGAUUCAGGAAUCCAAAAUGGCAGAAAAGUAGAAGAGGAAAGUAAAUAGAGUUUUCUACUGGUUUGACUCCUUGAACAGUCUCAUACUGUGGUUGGAUGAGUGAUGGAUGGGUGUAAAGGAGGGAUGAGAACAGACAGCUGGAAGCUGGGGGUGAGGGAAAUAGGACCUCCUUUUGACAGCAGCUAUCUGUUAGUUAUAUCAGCCUAACUGUGUUUUCCAUGUGCAUUUUUUUUUCCUUGGGGCUGGCUGAGAAUCCCAGAAUCUGGGGAGUGCUUGGCGAGCUGUGAAUACUAGGAAAUUGGAAACUGGAAAGAAAGGUAGCAGACAAUUUGAAGUUACAGAUGCACACGUGAUCCUAUGGGUGUCCAGACCUCCUUAGGCACAAGCUUGUGCAGAGCUGGAAAUCAUAAGCAAGA